GCGACCUCAGCUUAGGCAAGAACACUUGUUGAGUUUAAGAAUAUAAUUAAGCAGAGCAAAAGAAACUUACAAGGAUUCCCCUAGUAGCAGUGAGCGAACUAGGAAGAGUCCAACAUGAAAAUCAGGUGGCAACAUCGCCUGAAUUGUAGUCUGUAGAAGCGUCCUCAGUGGCGGACCUGAGCUAAGUCCCUUGGAAGGGGGUGCCUGAGAGGGUGACAACCCCGUCGGGCCGGGACCCUGCCACAUCAUGAGGUGUUGUCGGCAAGUUGGGUUGUUUGGGAAUGCAACCCUAAUUGGCUGGUAAAUUUUGUCCAAGGCUAAAUACGGGUGAGAGACCGAUAGUGAACAAGUGCCGUGAAGGAAGGAUGAAAAGGACUUUAAAAAGAGAGUUAAAGAGUGCUUCAAAUUGUUGGGAGGGAAGUAGAUGGAGGCUAUCAAUGCGUCUCGGUCAGAUGUGGAACUGCUCAGGCUGGUCCGUCGCUCAACUUGAGGUGAAAACCAACACAGGCUGCCGCAUCAUCACAAGCACAGGUGGAUUACUGCCUGUCAGUUUUCCGUUGCGGUGGUUGAGGAAGGAAGCGUGUGCCCUUAUGGCCAGUCGUGUGCAACUGCGCACUCGUGGUGCUGGUUGGAGGGCUUUCCAUUCAGCCUAUCUUGAAACACGGACCAAGGAGUCUAACAUGUGUGCGAGUUGGUGGGUUUGAAAACUUGCGAGGCAUAAGGAAGCUGACGGGAAAGAUCCCCUCUCCGGGGGGUGCAUCAUCGACCGAACUUGAGCGUAUGCAAAGGGUUCGAGUGCGAGCACACCUGUUGGGACCCGAAAGAUGGUGAACUAUGCCUGAGCAGGGCAAAGACAAAGGAAACUCUGGUGGAAGCUCGUAGUGAUACUGACGUGAAAAUCAUUCAUCUGACUUGGGCAUAGGGGCGAAAGACUAAUCGAACCAUCUAGUAGCUGGUUUCCUCCGAAGUUUCCCUUAGGAUAGCUAGAGCUCACGCGCGAGUUUUAUCGGGUAAAGAAAAUGAUUAGAGGCAUCAAGGGCAUAAUGCCCUUGACUUAUUCUCAAACUUGAAAUAGGUAAGAGGGUGUGACUGCUCCAUUGAGUUGUGUUGUGGAAUCAAGAGCUCCAAGUGGGCCAUUUUUGGUAAGAAAAAUUGGCGAUGCGGGAUGAACCGAAAGUCGAGUUACGGUGUGGAAUUGUGCACUAACCUAGAUCCCACAAAGGGUGUUGGUUGAUUAAGACAACAAGACGGUGGUCAUGGAAGUUCAAAUCUGCUAAGGAGUGUGUAACAACUCACCUGCCGAAUCAACUAGCCCCGAAAAUGGAUGGUGCUGAAGCACACAACCUAUAUUCGACCAUCGGAGCAAUUGCCUGGCUCCGAUGAGUAGGAGGAUGAAAGGGUCAUUGAGAAACCUCAGGCGUGAGCUUGGGUAAAUCGGUCCCCAGUGCAGAUCUUGGUGGUAGUAGCAAAUAUUCAAAUGAGAACUUUAAAGACUGAAGUAGGGAAAUGUUCCAUGUGAACAACACUUGGACAUGGGUUAGUCGAUCCUAAGAGAUGGGGAAGCCUUGUAUCAAGGGUGCACUCUGCACGGGCAUCGAAAGGGAAUUGGGUUAAUAUUCCCAAACUGAGACAUGGUGAUGGGUGACAACAUUAGGAAAUCCGAAGACAUCAUCGAGGGCCCCGGGAAGAGUUAUCUUUUCUUUUUAACAGUUUGCCCACCCUGGAAUCAGUAAACCUAGAGAUAGGGUCCAACAGCUAGAAGAGCACCGCACAUCUUGUGGUGUCUGGUGCACCCUCAGUAGCCCUUGAAAAUCUGGAGGAUCAAGUACCAUUCAUGCUCGGUCAUACUCAUAACCACAUCAGGUCUCCAAGGUGAACAACUUCUAGUCAAUAGAACAAUGUAGGUAAGGGAAGUCGGAAAAAUGGAUCCGUAACUUCGGGAAAAGGAUUGGCUCUGAGGGUUGGGCCUAGGGGUCUGUGCCUUCAACUCGUGGGCUAUCAAUAGUCUUACCAAGCUGCUCUCACAGUGAAGGCAGGCAGUUGGGUGCCGAUUGGGCUACGGGCAUAGAAUGCCCCCUGCUGGGGGCUUUUCCCUAGGCAUCGAAUAGUCAAGUCAUAAUUGGUACGGACAAGGGGAAUCUGACUGUUUAAUUAAAACAAAGCAUUGCGAUGGUCCUUGUGAAUGCUGACGCAAUGUGAUUUCUGCCCAGUGCUCUGAAUGUCAAAGUGAAGAAAUUCAACCAAGCGCAGGUAAACGGUGGGAGUAACUAUGACUCUCUUAAGGUAUCCAAAUGCCUCGUCAUCUAAUUAGUGAUGCACAUGAAUGGAUUAACGAGAUUCCCACUAUCCCUAUCUACUAUCUGGCGAAACCACAACCAAGGGAACGGGCUUGGCAGAAUCAGCGGGGAAAGAAGACCCUGUUGAUCUUGACUCUAGUUCGACUUUGUGAAAUGACUUGAGAGGUGUAGAAUAAGUGGGAGCCAUUUUUGGCGCAAGUGAAAUACCACUACUUUUAAUUUUAUUUUACUUAUUCCGUGGGGUGGAGAUAAGGCACUACCCCUGUUUAUGACCUUAAGGCACAUUUCGGUGGGUUGGUCCAUGUGGAAGACAUUAUCAGGUGGGGAGUUUGGCUGGUGCAACACAUUUGUUAAAAGAUAACGUAGGUGUCCUAUGAUGAGCUCAACGAGAACAUAAAUCUCAUGUCGAACAAAAGGGUAAAAGCUCAUUUGAUUUUGAAUUUCAGUACGAAUACAAACUGUGAAAGCAUGGCCUAUCGAUCCUUUAGAUUUUCAGAAUUUAAAGCUAGAGGUGUCCGAAAAGUUACCACAGGGAUAACUGGCUUGUGGUAGCCAAGCGUUCAUAGCAACAUUGCUUUUUGAUCCUUCGAUGUCAGCUCUUAUGUCACACGGAGUGAGUCGAGGUUGCGAACAAGAUCGACCUUCCUAGUAUCUACUGAUAUCUAGUGACAAGCA
rnacentral:rRNA from 1 species